rnacentral:ribozyme from 1 species
AAAAAUGGCUAAGGAAGCUUGCUACUUAAAGGCAUGACAUUGUUUUUUUUUUUUUUUUUUUUUUUUCCA